GAUGAACGCUGGCGGCAGGCCUAAUACAUGCAAGUCGAGGGGCAGUUUUUUCUUCGGAAAAAAGCGACCGGCGGACGGGUGAGUAACGCGUACGCAACCUACCUUUUGGUGGGGGAUAGCCAUGGGAAACUGUGAUUAAUACCCCAUAUUAUAAUUGAAUGGCAUCAUUUAAUUAUGAAAGCUCCGGCGCCAAAAGAUGGGCAUGCGUGGCAUUAGCUAGUUGGUGAGGUAAAGGCUCACCAAGGCAACGAUGCCUAGCUGGUCUGAGAGGAUGAUCAGCCACACUGGGACUGAGACACGGCCCAG
rnacentral:rRNA from 1 species